AGUGAACGCUGGCGGUAGGCCUAACACAUGCAAGUCGAACGGCAGCACAGUAAGAGCUUGCUCUUACGGGUGGCGAGUGGCGGAUGGGUGAGGAAUACAUCGGAAUCUACUUUUUCGUGGGGGAUAACGUAGGGAAACUUACGCUAAUACCGCAUACGACCUACGGGUGAAAGCAGGGGAUCUUCGGACCUUGCGCGAUUGAAUGAGCCGAUGUCGGAUUAGCUAGUUGGCGGGGUAAAGGCCCACCAAGGCGACGAUCCGUAGCUGGUCUGAGAGGAUGAUCGGCCGCACUGGAACUGAGACACGGUCCAGACUCCUACGGGAGGCAGCAGUGGGGAAUAUUGGACAAUGGGCGCAAGCCUGAUCCAGCCAUACCGCGUGGGCGAAGAAGGCCUUCGGGUUGUAAAGCCCUUUUGUUGGGAAAGAAAAGCAGCAGGUUAAUACCCCGCUGUUCUGACGGUACCCAAAGAAUAAGCACCGGCUAACUUCGUG
rnacentral:rRNA from 1 species